GGUCUCUGGAGAUGUCUGUGGGUCUCUGUGGGUCUCUAUAGGUGUCUGUGGGUCUCUUAGAUUGCUGAGCGUCCUCUUUGGGUGUCUUUGAGUCCCGGAGUCCGCUGUGAAUAUCCACGCGAUGCUGAUGAUGACACGAUGAUGAUGAUGACACGAUGCUGAUGAUGAUGAGGAGCAGCUUGUCAUCGUCGUUAGUGAUGGCCGGGGCAGGCUUGUGACGAGAGACGCGACAUCGGAGUGCUAGAGCGGGACGCUUACUGACCUCAUGUAGUUUAAAACAA